AUUGAACGCUGGCGGCAGGCCUAACACAUGCAAGUCGAACGAGUGGCGGACGGGUGAGUAAUGUCUGGGAAACUGCAUGAUGGAGGGGGAUAACUACUGGAAACGGUAGCUAAUACCGCAUACCAUCGGAUGUGCCCAUAUGGGAUUAGAUAGUAGGUGGGGUAAAGGCUCACCUAGGCGACGAUCCCUAGCUGGUCUGAGAGGAUGACCAGCCAACGUGGAACUGAGACACAGCGCAGACUCCACCGGGAGGCAGCAGUGGGGAAUAUUGCACAAUUGGCGCAAGACUGAUGUAGCCAUGCCGCGUGUAUGAAGAAGGCCUUCGGGUUUGAAAGUACUUUCAGCAGUGAUGCGUUACUCGCAUAAGAAGCACCGGCGAACUCCGGGCCAGCCGCCGCGGUAAUUC
rnacentral:rRNA from 1 species